rnacentral:lncRNA from 1 species
UAGUCCAUCAAUGAAUGCAAACCUUAUGUUAGUAGUACCAUAUACUCUUGCUUUAAAAACCGUUUUACAAGCUUAGUGGGAGUAUUAUAUACUACUAAGUCAAUCACAUGGACCAAUAGUUGUAAUAGGACCAAAUUGUUUUAAUAAGAUUAAAAUGUAUAUUUAUAUGUGAUGAGACCUAAAACCCUCAACCAAACCAUUAUUAAGUUGAUAAGCGU